rnacentral:rRNA from 1 species
UACGGAGGGGGCUAGCGUUGUUCGGAAUUACUGGGCGUAAAGCGCACGUAGGCGGCUUUGCAAGUCAGAGGUGAAAGCCCGGUGCUCAACAUCGGAAUUGCCUUUGAAACUAGGGAACUUGAAUCCAGGAGAGGUGAGUGGAAUUCCGAGUGUAGAGGUGAAAUUCGUAGAUAUUCGGAAGAACACCAGUGGCGAAGGCGGCUCACUGGACUGGUAUUGACGCUGAGGUGCGAAAGCGUGGGGAGCAAACAGG